rnacentral:rRNA from 1 species
AUAUCGACGUAGUUUGAUCAUGGCUCAGAAUCAACGCUGGCGGCGUGCCUCAGACAUGCAAGUCGAACGAUUAAAGCUCUCUUCGGAGAGUGCAUAGAGUGGCGCACGGGUGAGUAACACGUAAGUAAUCUACCUUCGAGUGGGGAAUAACGUCCGGAAACGGGCGCUAAUACCGCAUAAUGCAGCGGCAUCGCAAGAUGACAGUUGUUAAAGGAGCAAUCCGCUUGAAGAGGAGCUUGCGGCAGAUUAGCUAGUUGGUAGGGUAAUGGCCUACCAAGGCUACGAUCUGUAACCGGUCUUAGAGGACGGUCGGUCACACUGACACUGAAUAACGGGUCAGACUCCUACGGGAGGCAGCAGUCGGGAAUUUUGGGCAAUGGGCGAAAGCCUGACCCAGCAACGCCGCGUGAAGGAUGAAGUAUUUCGGUAUGUAAACUUCGAAAGAAUAGGAAGAAUUAAUGACGGUACUAUUUAUAAGGUCCGGCUAACUACGUG